rnacentral:rRNA from 1 species
CCUAAGGUAGCGAAAUUCCUUGUCGGGUAAGUUCCGACCUGCACGAAUGGCGUAAUGAUGGCCAGGCUGUCUCCACCCGAGACUCAGUGAAAUUGAACUCGCUGUGAAGAUGCAGUGUACCCGCGGCAAGACGGAAAGACCCCGUGAACCUUUACUAUAGCUUGACACUGAACAUUGAGCCUUGAUGUGUAGGAUAGGUGGGAGGCUUUGAAGCGUGGACGCCAGUCUGCGUGGAGCCAACCUUGAAAUACCACCCUUUAAUGUUUGAUGUUCUAACGUUGGCCCCUAAUCGGGGUUGCGGACAGUGUCUGGUGGGUAGUUUGACUGGGGCGGUCUCCUCCCAAAGAGUAACGGAGGAGCACGAAGGUUAGCUAAUCCUGGUCGGACAUCAGGAGGUUAGUGCAAUGGCAUAAGCUAGCUUGACUGCGAGCGUGACGGCGCGAGCAGGUGCGAAAGCAGGUCAUAGUGAUCCGGUGGUUCUGAAUGGAAGGGCCAUCGCUCAACGGAUAAAAGGUACUCCGGGGAUAACAGGCUGAUACCGCCCAAGAGUUCAUAUCGACGGCGGUGUUUGGCACCUCGAUGUCGGCUCAUCACAUCCUGGGGCUGAAGUAGGUCCCAAGGGUAUGGCUGUUCGCCAUUUAAAGUGGUACGCGAGCUGGGUUUAGAACGUCGUGAGACAGUUCGGUCCCUAUCUGCCGUGGGCGCUGGAGAAUUGAGGGGGGCUGCUCCUAGUACGAGAGGACCGGAGUGGACGCAUCACUGGUGUUCGGGUUGUCAUGCCAAUGGCACUGCCCGGUAGCUAAAUGCGGAAGAGAUAAGUGCUGAAAGCAUCUAAGCACGAAACUUGCCCCGAGAUGAGUUCUCCCUGAGACUAUAAGUCUCCUGAAGGAACGUUGAAGACGACGACGUUGAUAGGCCGGGUGUGUAAGCGCAGCGAUGCGUUGAGCUAACCGGUACUAAUGAACCGUGAGGCUUAACCUU